GACGAACGCUGGCGGCGUGCUUAACACAUGCAAGUCGAACGAAGUGGCGAACGGGUGAGUAAUACGUGAGUAACCUGCCCUCCUUUUUGGGAUAAGCCUUGGAAACGGGGUCUAAUACCGGAUAAAGGGGUAUGUGCUUGCGGCGUAUCAGCGUGUUGGUGGGGUGGAAGCCUACCAAGGCGGUGACGGGUCGUCGGCCUGAGAGGGUGACCGGCGACAGUGGCGCAGAGAUUAGGCCGAGACACCUACGGGAGGCAGCAGAGGGGGAGAUUGGACAAUGGGCGAAAGCCUGAUGCCGCGAAGCCGCGUGUGGGAUGAAGGCUUACGGGUUGUAAACCUAUGUCGCGAUCGAUUGGGUAGGUGGAGAAGAAGCGCCGGCUAACUACGUGCCAGCAGCCGCGGUAAUGC
rnacentral:rRNA from 1 species